UGGAAAAGCUUACAGGUAUAUGCAAGCAUUUGGCGUGGGCUCUUUGGAAGACAAUUGGUCUUUUCAGUCACCCGCAACAAUUUUUUCUUCCUCCUUUAUUACUUAAUCUUCCCCCAUGGCAGAAUUUCUUGUUAUUGAUAUUGGGCGAUGUGGGAAUUUAAACAAUAGUUACAAUGGCAGCUCCCUGCUUAUGAGUCUCAUUCCAGGCACUGUAUGAAACAAGGGCUUUAGUUAAGAUUAUCCCCAUCAAUUGGUAAAAUAAAGAAUGAUUACAAUAUUCGAGCAUGGAGCCUCCUAAAAACUUUCCCCAGCUUACUAUAAAUUAGCUAACUCAUAAGAACAAUGUCGCAGAGCAUCAAAUGCAAACACUGAUGGAAGGAAUCAGACAUCUCCCCAUCAAGAAUUGGAAUGUCACUUCCGCUUUUGGAGGU